rnacentral:rRNA from 1 species
UACAGGGGGGGGCAGGCGUUGUUCGGAAUUACUGGGCGUAAAGGGUCUGUAGGUGGCCAACUAAGUCAGACGUGGAAAUCCCUCAGCUUAACUGGGGAACUGCGUCUGAUAACUGGAUGGCUUGAGUGUGGGAGAGGAAUGCGGAAUUCCAGGUGUAGCGGUGAAAUGCGUAGAUAUCUGGAGGAACACCGGUGGCGAAGGCGGCAUUCUGGACCAUAACUGACACUGAGAGACGAAAGCCAGGGGAGCAAACGGG